AUGAUGAAAUCCUCAAGAGUUUUACUAGUGAUCCUGUGGCUUCAGUUAACAUGGAUGAGGAGCCAGCAGAAGGGAGUGGAGCAGAGCCCCGCAUCUCUGCAUGUUCCAGAGGGAGACAUCGCCUCUCUCAACUGCACUUAUACUGACAGAACUUCUGAUUACUUCUUGUGGUACAGACAGUACCCCAGCAAAGGCCCUGAGUUGCUCCUGUACGGAUACUUGAAUAAUGACAAAGAGGAAGGAAGAUUUGCAGCGCAGGUCAAUAAAGCCAACCAGUAUGUCUCCCUGCUCAUCAGAGACUCGCAGCCCAGCGACUAA